GCCUUAUCAAGAGUGGCGGAGGGACCGGCCCUGUGAAGCCCGACAACCUGCAGAAACCUGCAAGGUGCCAAAUCCGGCGGUGCAAAUCGAGAGAUGAGGA
rfam:Firmicutes bacterium CAG:103 genomic scaffold, scf265